GGGCGGCUAGCUCAGUUGGUUAGAGCGACUGCUUUACACGCAGUAGGUCGUAGGUUCGACUCCUACGUCGCCCA
rnacentral:tRNA from 1 species